CAAGAGGGUAGAUCCACAAUAAGCAGAGCUUUCCCGCAGCCAGCUUUCCCGUAUUCAGAUAGGAAGCAGCAGGCAGCGUGUCAGCCUCUUCCUCCCCUGACAUGCUGGGAGAGGGCAUAGAAGCCCAUCUCCUGAGGACAUUGAAGAGGGGUCCUAACAUGCGGGCAGGGGAAGGGGACUAGGUUAACAUCUGCCUAUGAGUUCAAAUUCUUUGAUUCUAGAUUAUCACACAACAGUCUUCAGAAAAUGUCUAUUCCUCAGAAGUUAGAAAACAGUUGUUUUGUACAAAAUAUACAAUUGUAUAUUUUGUGUAUUGUAUAUUUGUAUUUUGUUACUUAUUUGUGACAUGUAUUUAUGAAUGAGAAUCCUUUUGUUAAAGCAAAAGCAUUUGAACACUCUCUGCUGGUCUGAGAACUUCAUAUUUCUUCAGUAAAUCAUUAUAAUCUGAGCACACGGACAGCAUCCUUGCUUCUGGCGCCAAGAAGUACAAUCAACUGGUGGAGAGUGUUUCUUAAAUGAAAGUGGUGUUUCCAGUUGGCAAAACAGAUUAUUUUUGCUAUUAAAGAAAUUGAUUUCUUAACACAUGUGAUUAAUUAUGUCUGUAAAACAGAAAAUCCAUCAAAGACAAAAUGUUUUUCCCUUCAGAAAACACUUACAAAUUCUUACAAUGUCAUUGACUAAAUAUGACAUUCUAUUAAUGGGCACCUUGUCUCCAAAGAUACAUCUGGGCUCAUUCUCCACAUUGUCUUCCCUAGGCUUUUGGGAGAUUGAUGACUGAUGACAAAAACAGGGCAGCACUCGGUGACUUUCUGCUGGUUCUUGAGAAUCCAAAUGAAAGUCCUACCCUGAACCUGCUCUGCAAAGGGGACCCACAUGAGGUCGCUUGGAAAGGGUCCUGACCCACCCACCAUGUCAAGCAAUUAUUUUUCUGGACAGCUUCCUGAUGUCCCCAAGGAGAGAGAGAGCGUGACAGCCAGUGAGGGAAAGCAUGCCACAGGUCCCGCCUGCUAACCUGGCAGGAGGGUGCUUGCAACACCUAAUUUAUCAACGCUUGUUUUCCCUGCUGGAGCCAAGUACACAAAAUCACUCCGCCAACAGAGAAAGAGAAAGGGGAAGCCAUUCUUCACCUUUUUCAGUAAUGUAUUUUUGUUUUGGUCAAUUUCCCAGAUAAAUUAUGGUCUUGUCUCAUUGCUGCAUUGGUGGAAUUCUUGCUAGUGUUAUUUAGUACAUUUUAAAGCUGUGUGAAACCAAAAGGUACUUAAAAAAAAAAAAAAAAGGAAAGUUAACCAAAUUGAAGGGUAAAUUUUUUACAUUGUUCCACUGGCUCCAGUUGGAGCUUAAUCAUCACGACCCUUCCUUCAGUCCACAGCGCCUGCUUCAAGAUGCAGCAGAAGUCAAAAUUGCAAGAGUCUGGAUGUUUUGCUUUCGUGUAACUCAUUAGGCAUUUCCCCCUGUGCUAUGAUAAAUGUCUCUCUCAACCAGAAAUUUUAUCUCACCUGUGUAUGUCCCUAUUUCACUCUGCGGAAUCACUCUCAGGAAAUACAAGCUAAUGAUGUCUGUGGUUCUGAAAUUUCCUUGUUAUUAUUUGUUUAAGACAUUUUUUAAAAAAACCUGUGGACAGCUUAUUAAAAGGAUGCUGAGCAAUGAAAACAUUAUUAGACCAUAUUAUUGUUUAUUGUACCCAGAUGUCGUGCAUUUUACACAUCCCAAAGGAUUAGUAGUAAUGUUGGAUACCAAAAUCUUACUUUUCCUUGCAGAUAUUGAGACUAAAUUUUUCUCAUUAAAAACAAAACAUUUACACUGAACAAAUGGUGCGUGUCCGGGUGAAGCAUCAGGUCUCAAGAAGGCAACACUGCUCAAACGAGACUUAGGACAGAACUGGAGACCAAAACAAAGCUGAGGCUACUGUUGGAAAUACUGGUCUAAAAAAAGGAAGAGUGUGGUAUGCUUGUUUUUUAGUUUUAUAGAAUUUUCCAUUUGGAAAGGAGAGAAAUGCAUACAUCCAAGCUGAAAUAAACCAUUCUAGCAAACAUGCCGAGGAAUAAUUUUCAAGAAUGUUUUGUUUUUAAUGAAAAGGAAAGCAAAUCAAAGAAAACCUGGGUAAGUGUUAAAGAGUACUAAAUUUAUAGUAAGGUUCAGGCAAUCUGCCCACUGCAAUCAGAAAGGUUUGGGCUGUUAGUCAUUUAAGACACACAAUGGGAAAAUAAACAAAGAAGGAGGAAGGGGGAAUGGUAAACUGUAGUUUGGCAGCAAAAUUAGUCCAGCUAGUUCCAUUACAUAUUAAACCAUGUCACAAAGCAAAUAAUUGAAAUAAUGAGGAGCUCAUUUUUUAAAAGAUAUAUAGAGUAGCAUAACAGAAUCAACAAAAAUAAGACUGUUUUAUAUAACAAUUCAAUAGACAAUAAAUAAGCACUCCAUUUGGGGAAAAGAAUCACACAAUAAAUGAUGCUGGGAUGGCUUGUGAGUAAUUUGGAGAAAACUGAUCUAGAAUGAGAGCGAGUAUUCCACAUUCGCCACUCUCUUGUCUUUUGGCUUUCUAUCACCUUGGCCAAUGGAGGAAGACAGCAAAAAACAGGAAGGAGGAAGAGUAUGAAGGGAGUCAUUUCUCCCCGGCACUCCAUGCCAGGUUGCUCCAGAAGGCUGUGUCUCUGUCCUAAGGGCUACAGCUUGGCUUGGGCAGUCUUUCCAUACAACUCUCCAGGUUCGGGAAAUUGCUUACUCAUCUGCCCCUGCAAGUGCAGGGAUGACAAUCACUUCCAGCUGAGCUGAGCCCAGCAUGCUGCAUCAUUCUUUGUUGAUGUCCCUCAACUCCGCUGGCGCUAUCUUGAUUAUCCUUAGGCUUACCUCAGUUCCCCAGUCCUAGUGGGCCUUCUGGUUCCUCCUGGGGCACUGACUGAUCCAGGUGCCCUGGGGUUCAGUCGCUAAGUUUCAGCUUCCUAUGUGAUGGGGUUUGGUUCUGUCCUUGUCUAAAUCUCAUGUUGAAUUGUAAUCCCCAGUGCUGGAGGUGGGGCCUGGUGAGAGGUGACUGGAUCAUGGGGUGGAUUUCUCACGAAUAGUUUAGUGCCGUUCCGUUGGUGCUAUCCUCAUGAUAGUGAGUGAGUUCUUGCAAAAUCUGGUCAUUUAAAAGUGCUCCUGCUUUUGCCAUGUGAUGUGUGACAUGCGUACUCCCGCUUCACCUUCCACCACGAUUGUAAGUUUCCUGAGGCUUCCCCAGAAACUGAGCAGAUGCCAGUAUCAUGCUUCCUGUACAGCCUGAGGAUCCAUGAGCCAAUUAAACCUCUUUUCUCUAUAAAUUAUCCAGUCUCAGGUAUUUUUUAUAGCAAUGCAAGAACAGCCUAAUACUGUGCAAUUUCAGAAUCCCAAGUUUCUCUAUUUACCCAAGACCGGGGGGUGCUCCCGCGGCCUGAUUCAUGCUCACAGACAUGCAAA
rnacentral:lncRNA from 1 species